GACGGAGGAUGCAAGUGUUAUCCGGAAUCACUGGGCGUAAAGCGUCUGUAGGUGGUUUAAUAAGUCAACUGUUAAAUCUUGAGGCUCAACCUCAAAAUCGCAGUCGAAACUAUUAGGCUAGAGUAUAGUAGGGGUAAAGGGAAUUUCCAGUGGAGCGGUGAAAUGCGUAGAGAUUGGAAAGAACAUCGAUGGCGAAGGCACUUUACUGGGCUAUUACUAACACUCAGAGACGAAAGCUAGGGUAGCAAAUGGG
rnacentral:rRNA from 1 species